CGUGUGGUUCUAUUUUGUUGGUUUCUAGGACCGCCGUAAUGAUUAAUAGGGACAGUCGGGGGCAUCAGUAUUCAAUUGUCAGAGGUGAAAUUCUUGGAUUUAUUGAAGACUAACUACUGCGAAAGCAUUUGCCAAGGAUGUUUUCAUUAAUCAAGAACGAAAGUUAGGGGAUCGAAGACGAUCAGAUACCGUCGUAGUCUUAACCAUAAACUAUGCCGACUAGGGAUCGGACGGUGGUUUUUUUAUGCCCCGUUCGGCACCUUACGAGAAAUCAAAGUGUUUGGGCUCGGGGGGGAGUAUGGUCGCAAGGCUGAAACUUAAAGAAAUUGACGGAAGGGCACCACCAGGAGUGGAGCCUGCGGCUUAAUUUGACUCAACACGG
rnacentral:rRNA from 1 species